rnacentral:lncRNA from 1 species
GUAGCAAUCAAUUUAUUUUUUUGUACAUUCAGAUUCUGAUGAAAUGUUUGUCUUCUCCAGAUUGUUUAAAGUUCUUGGAAGAAUGUUCCAAAAAGCUUUUCUGAUUAGAUUUUGAGAGCUCUGUGGAGAAAGAAUCACACAUGUACCUGAUUGCUUCCUUGGAUCAAUGCCCCUGCCCUUUAUAGCAUGCUCUGGUUGACUGCUAGCCAUGCAGACCUCAGGGAAGAGCUGGAUGGCACAGAACUGUGAUUCAUGCCAGAAUCAGAGACUUCACAUGCUGAGUAAUGAACUUGUGGAAUAUGUAGUCACAGCAGAUUUUAAAGGCAAACAGUAUGAGCAGUAGACACAGGCAAGGAAUUCACUCACCACUUCGCAUCAGCAAGCUUGGCGUUUAGCCACCUCCAGGAAAGCAGGGCUCCAUCAUGUGUAACAGUUACUUGGGAAGACAAAUGCCAUCACUCUGAACAUCCCCCUUUCCUUCUUCCUCCAGCUUAAUACUGCUGAGCAUGGCAUCAUAUGAUCUGGAAUACCGCUUUGGUCAGCUGGGGUUAGCUGUCCCAGCUGUGUCCCCUCCUAACU